CUCUCACCCCCUUCUCUUCAUCCGUCCUGGCUAGUGCCCCAAAUCCGGCGGGACGUGCGUUUCCGACCGCCGGAGCUGCGUCCGUGUGGAGGUAGCAGCGGUCUACGCCGUGAUGGAACCUGAGACGCAGAUAGAUAUGUUCUUCUUUCAUGCAAAGGUGAAGUUUUUGGUAUCAGUGGUUUGUCAACAUCAGGAGUUAAGAUGAAUUUUUGAGAGAUGGCAUGUCUGUUAUAAAUUUUAAAUUCUUGAGCUGUGGAGAGAAGCAACAUGUCGAAGCUUACCAUGUCCUGUUGAUGUUGCGUCUUGUGGCGCCAUUAAGGUGUUUGAUGAAAUGCCAAGACCAGCGAGGUACCCAGAUAUCCUCUACUACUUAUUAUGACGACAACAGAGAUGCAGGUCUCUGAAUGGUUGGGACUGUUGGGUGAGGUUUGUUUUCUGGUUCUUUUUCUCUUAGGGCUGGUGUACCGUGUUUAUGGUGCCUCUCCUUCGGCGGUCUGUGGUACUGUAUAAUCUUCUUCUUAAAUGAAUGGUAGAGCUCCUGCCCUUGUUUUUUUUUUUUUGUGCCGUUUGCAAAGUGAAAGCAAGUAAGUGUGUAUACUCAUUCUCUUUGUCCCUUCUUAUUCUCUGCAGCUACCUUUCUCCUUCUCCUCACCCAUUUUGUAGCUCCAGGGAUCCUGACCAUUUUUUUGUCCAAGUUAUGGGUCCACCUAGUUCCACUCAUCCUUAUUAGUGUCCUGUAUGAAUCUUCCAGGGCUGCUUCCUGGCCUGUUGAUUAUUUCCUUUUCUUUGAUUACAUUUCUGCUCUUGAUGCUUAAUUUGAUUUUAUUCAUUCUGGUUUGGUCAAUGAGCCUCUUCUGCAUUAACGAGAUCUUGACAGCUUUCAUUUCUGAACGUUGAUGGCCUUUCUGACCAUUAAUUUUCCUUUUAGGAGGAAUAUUGGUGAGAGAAGAGCCCACCUGAACGCAAUUAAUCAAAGCUGAAUUUGUUCAGUUACAGCCCAAGGACAAGAUAAUUAGAUAAAUAGCCGGAGAAAGAAACGAUGAGUGAGAACUAGUCAUAGUCUUGUGACAACAUUUGAGCAGCAAGCAUGAAUAGAAGCUUUGUUAACUCAAUUUUUUAUGCUUUCCAUAGGUGCAUGUAAGUUUCAGAAGUGCUAUUUGCUUUCUGUAGGACAAGGCCAGAUAGGCUGAUCAAGAAGCAGGCCUGUUAGGUGCGCAGAUGCAGAGACUAAUUCAUGUGACUGUUGUUGGAUCACAUACCCAGCAGAGUGAUGUUUUUUAUUGCAUUGUGCAAGCCAUAUCGAGGUCGUUGUACAUGUCUCGUUCAGGGGUUUUGAGCAUGUCCUCCAAAUAAGACAACGUGUUUGAGAAAACAAAGAAAAAGUUUACUUGCACAGUGAAUGAUGAUUUUGAGAGGAUUGGUGUCUUCAUGUUUGUAGUCACUUUGAAGGAGUAUUCUCAACCACCAUUGCAUUGUGUUGAUGGUUUUGCCUUGCAGCUAGGGCCUAGGAGGGAUGAGUUAAUUUGGUAAUGUCUACGAGCUCAGAUAUAUUGUCACGGGCAAUGAGGUUGGUGGAAGGAAUGUGUCGUAGGUUGUACUUGAAGGUACUUGAUCGUAUAUUACUGCAGUUGCUGUUCUUGGGGAUCUUGUGGGCACACUUGGCCCGAGCUCAAAGGAUCUGUUCAAGAGCAACCUCUUCCAUGUUGGGUUCUUGGGGGAGUGCCUUGACUUGGAUGAUGAAGUUAGGGAGACUGCGUCAUGGGCCCAGGGAAUGAUAAACCAAGCAGUGGCGUCUUACUAUGAGGUGAUUUUAUUUUGUCGAUCAUGAACGGUUUCUUUUGUAGCUGUGCCAAUUCCAUUUGCCACAGGUGAAUGAAAGGAUACCGAUAUAUAUGUAGCGUCACUCUUAGGAUCUCUUGUCUGUAGACAUUCGUGCUUUGUUGUCAGUCUGUCAAGCCGUUGUGCAUCGCAUUAGUCCGGGUGGAUUCUGGCUGUGAAAGUCUUGGAAUAGCAGAACUCGUUUGUCUUAUCUUAUUGCCGGUAUUAUUAAAUACCCUGAUGUCUCUGCUUGUCGUUUUUCAUGUCCAGCAGAUUAAAUUUUGACAGAAGGCAUUGGUUGUGUGUGUUUGCCGUGUAAU